rnacentral:rRNA from 1 species
GACAACUCCCAUACGUUCCUUGCAUCAGUUCUCGUUAAAUCACUGGAGUUAAGUAACGUUGGGCACGGUUCGUUUCUGGAAGGGUGACUAUCUGGGGACACCGUGUAAUGUUUUUU